rnacentral:rRNA from 1 species
UACGUAGGCAGCAAGCGUUGUUCGGAAUUACUGGGCGUAAAGAGUGUGUAGGCGGUGUUCUAAGUCUGUCGUGAAAUCUCCCGGCUUAACUGGGAGGGUGCGGCGGAAACUGGAAUGCUAGAGGAUGGGAGAGGUAAGCGGAAUUCCUGGUGUAGCGGUGAAAUGCGUAGAUAUCAGGAGGAACACCGGCGGCGAAGGCGGCCCUCUGGAUCGUUGCUGACGCUGAGACGCGAAAGCGUGGGGAGCAAACAGG